rnacentral:rRNA from 1 species
ACCAAGGCGACGAUCAGUAGCCGGCCUGAGAGGGUGAACGGCCACAUUGGGACUGAGACACGGCCCAAACUCCUACGGGAGGCAGCAGUGGGGGAUAUUGCACAAUGGGGGAAACCCUGAUGCAGCGACGCCGCGUGAGUGAUGAAGUAUUUCGGUAUGUAAAGCUCUAUCAGCAGGGAAGAAAAUGACGGUACCUGACUAAGAAGCACCGGCUAAAUACCUGCCAGCAGCCGCGGUAAUACGUAUGGUGCAAGCGUUAUCCGGAUUUACUGGGUGUAAAGGGAGCGUAGACGGACGGAUAAGUAUGAUGUGAAAGGUGGGGGCUCAACCCCCAAACUGCAUUGGAAACUGGUCAUCUAGAGUGUCGGAGAGGUAAGUGGAAUUCCUAGUGUAGCGGUGAAAUGCGUAGAUAUUAGGAGGAACACCAGUGGCGAAGGCGGCUUACUGGACGAUAACUGACGUUGAGGCUCGAAAGCGUGGGGAGCAAACAGGAAAAGAUACCCUGGUAGUCCACGCGGUAAACGAUGAAUAUUAGGUGUAGGGUGUAUUAAGCUUCCCAGUGCCCGCAGCAAACCCAUUAAUUAUUCCACCCUGGGGGGGAGGUUCCGAAGAAGAAAAAUCAAAGGAAUGAAGGGGGGCCCCCCCAACCGGGGGAGCAGGUGGUUUCUUUGGUAGGCAACGCGAGGAACCUUCCCAAAUCUUGACAUCCCGCGGACCAUCCGAGUAGGGCAGUCUCUUUUUGGAGCACCGGCGACAGGUGGUGCACGGUUGUGGUCAGCUCGUGUCGUGGGAGGGUGGGGUAAGUCCCGCAACGAGCGCACCCCCUCUCUUUAGUAGCCAGCAGUUCGGCUGGGCACUCUAGGGAGACCCCCGGGGAGAACCCGGAGGAAGGGGGGGGGGACGUCAAAUCAUCAUGCCCCUUAUGAUUUGGGCUACACACGUGCUACAAUGGCGUAAACAAAGAGACGCAGAGUCGUGAGGCCGAGCAAAUCUCAAAAAUAACGUCUCAGUUCGGAUUGUAGUCUGCAACUCGACUACAUGAAGCGGGAAUCGCUAGUAAUCGCGAAUCAGAAUGUGGCGGGGAAUACGUUCCCGGGUCUUGCACUCACCCCCCGUCA